UACGGAGGGGGCUAGCGUUGUUCGGAAUUACUGGGCGUAAAGCGCGCGUAGGCGGCUUUGUAAGUUAGAGGUGAAAGCCCGGAGCUCAACUCCGGAAUUGCCUUUAAGACUGCAUCGCUAGAAUCAUGGAGAGGUUAGUGGAAUUCCGAGUGUAGAGGUGAAAUUCGUAGAUAUUCGGAAGAACACCAGUGGCGAAGGCGACUCACUGGACACGUAUUGACGCUGAGGUGCGAAAGCGUGGGGAGCAAACAGG
rnacentral:rRNA from 1 species